rnacentral:rRNA from 1 species
UACGUAGGGACCGAGCGUUGUCCGGAUUCAUUGGGCGUAAAGAGCUCGUAGGCGGCUGCUCAAGUCGAAUGUGAAAACUCGAGGCUCAACCUCGAGCCUGCAUUCGAUACUGGGCGGCUAGAGUCUGGUAGGGGGAUCUGGAAUUCCUGGUGUAGCGGUGGAAUGCGCAGAUAUCAGGAGGAACACCGGUGGCGAAGGCGGGAUCCUGGGCCAGUACUGACGCUAAGGAGCGAAAGCGUGGGGAGCAAACAGG